rnacentral:lncRNA from 1 species
AUUUGAAAAGAGAGAUUGCGAAAUAAGUAUGUGAUCUGAUUACAAUCUAAAUUUCAAUAUAUAUCAAUUUCAGCUUAUGAAAUAGAUCCAUAUGAUUUUAUAUUUUUAUAUAUGCAAAAUUUAGAUUAAAAGUAUUUUAAUCUUAUGCUCCACUAUGGUGUUUAAAAAAUAAAUAUUUUAAAACACAUAUGCAUGCACCAAACCCAGAAUUCCAA